AGGAGCCUGCAUGGAGGAGGUGACAUCUAAGUUGGAUUGUGAAGGGUGAGGAGUUUUUCAUGCAGAGGAGAGGAGCACAAACCUUUCAGUACUGAAGGAUUCAGGACCAUGGCCAGCACCGAAGCAGCCUACAAAUUCUGAAAUAAGCUUAGAGUCUUAGCCAAAGAGAUCAGCACUGCCUUUAACCUUCUUCCCUGCCUUUCCCAUUUGGCCAAGUCUUACUGAUCCUUCAACUCAGAUGCCACCACUUCUGGAAAACCUUCCUGGAGACCCACACAGGUAGAACAAAGGCAGUGAAGGGUGUAGGGAUAUUAUACAGCUGUGCUCCAUGAGCAUGUGUUAAGGCUGUGGAAUGGAUCCUGGCAGGAUGACCUCAAAUUAAGAUUUUAAUGACUCUUCCAUUUAGAAGACACAUUCUUUCCAUUAAUGCUGCCUUGUCAGGGCACUGGCUGUGGCAUUGAGACACAAGGAAAGAAAUGACAAAGAAACACUUAACCUGUGACUUGAUCAACCAGGAUUCGAGAGGUGAUGAUACGGC